rnacentral:rRNA from 1 species
GAAUCAUGGCUCAGGAUGAACGCUGGCGGCGUGCUUAACACAUGCAAGUCGAACGAAGCACUUUAUUUGAUUUCUUCGGAAUGAAGAUUUUGUGACUGAGUGGCGGACGGGUGAGUAACGCGUGGGUAACCUGCCUCAUACAGGGGGAUAACAGUUGGAAACGACUGCUAAUACCGCAUAAGCGCACAGGGUCGCAUGACCUGGUGUGAAAAACUCCGGUGGUAUGAGAUGGACCCGCG